ensembl:lncRNA
AGGUACUAGGGAUGGAGAUGUGAUCAGGUACUAGGGAUGGAGAUGUGACUAGGUACUAGGGAUGGAGAUGUGACCAGGUACUUGGGAUGGAGAUGUGACUAGGUACUAGGGAUGGAGAUGUGACCAGGUGCUAGGGAUGGAGAUGUGACUAGGUGCUAGGGAUGGAGAUGUGACUAGGUACUAGGGAUGGAGAUGUGACCAGGUACUAGGGAUGGAGAUGUGACUAGGUACUAGGGAUGGAGAUGUGACCAGGUGCUAGGGAUGGAGAUGUGACUAGGUGCUAGGGAUGGAGAUGUGACUAGGUACUAGGGAUGGAGAUGUGACCAGGUACUAGGGAUGGAGAUGUGACCAGGUACUAGGGA